rnacentral:lncRNA from 1 species
CACCACACACGCACUGCACACCACACACAGCACACACCACACACACUGCACACCCCACAUGCUGCACACCCCACACCACACACACCACACACCACACACCACACACACUGAACGCCACACACAGCACACACGACACACCACACACAGCACACACCACACACUGCACACCACACACAGCACACACGACACACACUGCACACCACACCACACACCACACACUGCACACCACACACAGCACACACUGCACACAGCACACACUGCACACCACACACCACACACAGCACACACACUGCACACCACACACCACACACACUGCACCACACACCAAACUGCACACUACACACCACACACCAAACUGCACACUACACACACAUUACAUACAACACUGCACACCACACACCACACACACUGCACGCCACACAGCACACACCGCACUCACUGCACACUACACAAACACACCACACACACUGUAUGCCACACACAGCACACACCACACACCACACACAGAACACACCACACACACUGCACACCACACACACUGCAAACCACACACCACACACACUACACUACACAAACACACCACACACACUGCACACCACACACAGCACACACACUGCACACCACACACCACAGACACUGCAUACCACACACAGCACACACCACACAUACUGCACACCACACCACACGCACUGCACACUACACAUGCACACUGCACACCACACACCAUACACUACACACAGAACACACUGCACACUACACAUACCACACACACAGCACACCACACACUGCGCACUGCACACUAUACACGCACACUGCACACCACACACCACACAGCACACACCAAACUGCACACACACUACAUACAGCACUGCACACCACACACCACACACACUGUACACUACACAUGCACACUGCACACCACACACCACAUACAGCACACAACACACCACACACUGCACACUACACAUGCACACUGCACACCACAAA